rnacentral:rRNA from 2 species
UUAAGCGACUAAGCGUACACGGUGGAUGCCCUGGCAGUCAGAGGCGAUGAAGGACGUGCUAAUCUGCGAAAAGCGUCGGUAAGGUGAUAUGAACCGUUACAGCCGGCGAUGUCCGAAUGGGGAAACCCAGUGCAAUUCGUUGCACUAUCGUUAACUGAAUACAUAGGUUAACGAGGCGAACCGGGGGAACUGAAACAUCUAAGUACCCCGAGGAAAAGAAAUCAACCGAGAUUCCCCCAGUAGCGGCGAGCGAACGGGGAGCAGCCCAGAGUCUGAAUCAGCUUGUGUGUUAGUGGAACGGUCUGGAAAGUCCGACGGUACAGGGUGAUAGUCCCGUACACCAAAAUGCACAGGCUGUGAACUCGAAGAGUAGGGCGGGACACGUGGUAUCCUGUCUGAAUAUGGGGGGACCAUCCUCCAAGGCUAAAUACUCCUGACUGACCGAUAGUGAACCAGUACCGUGAGGGAAAGGCGAAAAGAACCCCGGCGAGGGGAGUGAAAAAGAACCUGAAACCGUGUACGUACAAGCAGUGGGAGCACCUUCGGGUGUGACUGCGUACCUUUUGUAUAAUGGGUCAGCGACUUAUAUUCUGUAGCAAGGUUAACCGUAUAGGGGAGCCGCAGGGAAACCGAGUCUUAACUGGGCGUUAAGUUGCAGGGUAUAGACCCGAAACCCGGUGAUCUAGCCAUGGGCAGGUUGAAGGUUGGGUAACACUAACUGGAGGACCGAACCGACUAAUGUUGAAAAAUUAGCGGAUGACUUGUGGCUGGGGGUGAAAGGCCAAUCAAACCGGGAGAUAGCUGGUUCUCCCCGAAAGCUAUUUAGGUAGCGCCUCGUGAACUCAUCUUCGGGGGUAGAGCACUGUUUCGGCUAGGGGGUCAUCCCGACUUACCAACCCGAUGCAAACUACGAAUACCGAAGAAUGUUAUCACGGGAGACACACGGCGGGUGCUAACGUCCGUCGUGAAGAGGGAAACAACCCAGACCGCCAGCUAAGGUCCCAAAGUCAUGGUUAAGUGGGAAACGAUGUGGGAAGGCACAGACAGCCAGGAUGUUGGCUUAGAAGCAGCCAUCAUUUAAAGAAAGCGUAAUAGCUCACUGGUCGAGUCGGCCUGCGCGGAAGAUGUAACGGGGCUAAACCAUGCACCGAAGCUGCGGCAGCGACACUAUGUGUUGUUGGGUAGGGGAGCGUUCUGUAAGCCUGCGAAGGUGUGCUGUGAGGCAUGCUGGAGGUAUCAGAAGUGCGAAUGCUGACAUAAGUAACGAUAAAGCGGGUGAAAAGCCCGCUCGCCGGAAGACCAAGGGUUCCUGUCCAACGUUAAUCGGGGCAGGGUGAGUCGACCCCUAAGGCGAGGCCGAAAGGCGUAGUCGAUGGGAAACAGGUUAAUAUUCCUGUACUUGGUGUUACUGCGAAGGGGGGACGGAGAAGGCUAUGUUAGCCGGGCGACGGUUGUCCCGGUUUAAGCAUGUAGGCUGGUUGUCCAGGCAAAUCCGGAUAAUCAAGGCUGAGGUGUGAUGACGAGGCACUACGGUGCUGAAGUAACAAAUGCCCUGCUUCCAGGAAAAGCCUCUAAGCAUCAGGUAACAUCAAAUCGUACCCCAAACCGACACAGGUGGUCAGGUAGAGAAUACCAAGGCGCUUGAGAGAACUCGGGUGAAGGAACUAGGCAAAAUGGUGCCGUAACUUCGGGAGAAGGCACGCUGGUGUGUAGGUGAAGUCCCUGCGGAUGGAGCUGAGACCAGUCGAAGAUACCAGCUGGCUGCAACUGUUUAUUAAAAACACAGCACUGUGCAAACACGAAAGUGGACGUAUACGGUGUGACGCCUGCCCGGUGCCGGAAGGUUAAUUGAUGGGGUUAUCCGUAAGGAGAAGCUCUUGAUCGAAGCCCCGGUAAACGGCGGCCGUAACUAUAACGGUCCUAAGGUAGCGAAAUUCCUUGUCGGGUAAGUUCCGACCUGCACGAAUGGCGUAAUGAUGGCCAGGCUGUCUCCACCCGAGACUCAGUGAAAUUGAACUCGCUGUGAAGAUGCAGUGUACCCGCGGCAAGACGGAAAGACCCCGUGAACCUUUACUAUAGCUUGACACUGAACAUUGAGCCUUGAUGUGUAGGAUAGGUGGGAGGCUUUGAAGCGUGGACGCCAGUCUGCGUGGAGCCAACCUUGAAAUACCACCCUUUAAUGUUUGAUGUUCUAACGUUGGCCCCUGACCGGGGUUGCGGACAGUGUCUGGUGGGUAGUUUGACUGGGGCGGUCUCCUCCCAAAGCGUAACGGAGGAGCACGAAGGUUAGCUAAUCCUGGUCGGACAUCAGGAGGUUAGUGCAAUGGCAUAAGCUAGCUUGACUGCGAGCGUGACGGCGCGAGCAGGUGCGAAAGCAGGUCAUAGUGAUCCGGUGGUUCUGAAUGGAAGGGCCAUCGCUCAACGGAUAAAAGGUACUCCGGGGAUAACAGGCUGAUACCGCCCAAGAGUUCAUAUCGACGGCGGUGUUUGGCACCUCGAUGUCGGCUCAUCACAUCCUGGGGCUGAAGUAGGUCCCAAGGGUAUGGCUGUUCGCCAUUUAAAGUGGUACGCGAGCUGGGUUUAGAACGUCGUGAGACAGUUCGGUCCCUAUCUGCCGUGGGCGCUGGAGAAUUGAGGGGGGCUGCUCCUAGUACGAGAGGACCGGAGUGGACGCAUCACUGGUGUUCGGGUUGUCAUGCCAAUGGCACUGCCCGGUAGCUAAAUGCGGAAGAGAUAAGUGCUGAAAGCAUCUAAGCACGAAACUUGCCCCGAGAUGAGUUCUCCCUGAGACUUUAAGUCUCCUGAAGGAACGUUGAAGACGACGACGUUGAUAGGCCGGGUGUGUAAGCGCAGCGAUGCGUUGAGCUAACCGGUACUAAUGAACCGUGAGGCUUAACCUU